AAGGUGUAAGCUGAAAAACCUAAAAUAGAGUAAGUA
rfam:Kordia algicida OT-1 1103813601120 genomic scaffold, whole genome shotgun sequence.